CCCACCUUUAAUUUCCUGCUUUUUUAAACACCCUUUCGAUAUCAAUUGAAGAAUGAAGUUUCGCUCUCACGGCUACGGCGCUUAUUCUUCCAAAAGCUCAUUGUAUUAGAAAGACGUAGCAAUACGACUAGAGCUGUUCUUGCUCUACAAUCUAGAUACAAAUGGGCUUUAAGUGGUACUCCCCUUCUGAACCUGUAUCGGGCUUUAAGUGGUACUCCCCUUCUGAACCUGUAUCGGGCUUUAAGUGGUACUCCCCUUCUGAACCGUGUGGGCGAGCUCUACUCACUUAUUCGCUUUUUCCAGAUAGUUCCUUUCUCGUAUUAUUUCUGCAAGGAUUGCGACUGUCGUACCCUUAUUUACAGGUUACAUUGAGAAGAGAUUCUCUCGAUGUUGUUGAAGAAGACUAUUAUACAGCACUCUACAACGAGAGUCAAGCACACUUUAAUACGUACGCCAUCUAAGUUCACCAUCUCUCGUUUUGAGAUUUGGAUGUAGUACUGGUUAAGAGUUUCGUUUGCUUGGAAGUAGUCAAGAGGCCUGUCAUCCGCUAAUUUCAUGCAGCUCGUCUAGCCUAUAAAAGAUACGUCGAUGCAGGAACACUGUUGAAUAACUAUGCCCACAUAUUUGAUCUACUCAGACGCCUUCGUCAGGUUAUUGUUGGACCAUCCUUAUACUAAGAUCUUGGUUUUGCAAUAUGGAUUCCUUUAUGGCUCCCUACUCCGUCCAUAUCUCAAACUGCUGAUCUUAAACUAAUCAAACAAAAACGCAAGCAGUUGAUCCCUACCUUGUGAAAUAUUCUCUUACUUCAAUGGAAAGAAAGGGAAAGCAGUUGAUACUGGAAUUGAUGUAAAAUGUGGCUUGUGUAAUGACACCGAAGAAGACACAGUGGUGAGUUGAAUACAAUUUGUUGUAACUGCUGGUAUCCCUAAGCUAUGGAGGCACUAAUUCAACAGUGCAUUGCUACAUUAUUUAUACCUCUGACUCUCUCAGGAUGUUUUAAUCUACAUUUUCAUCUGCACAGUAUCAACAUCUUACAUUUGUAUCUAUGUACCUAGGAUUUAUAAUUCUAAUUGGUGUUGCACUUUCUAAACUGUUGCAUAGUGAAGUGACAGUUCAGUAGUCACUGGAAUUGAACUGUUUGUCCAUCAAGCAGCACAUUAAUUCUAGCUGAAGUAGAUUUCAUCAAGUAAUGGAUUCUGAAAAAUGGAAAGCACUGAAGAUGCAUAUAUGUUGCUUGAGCUUGUAAUUUGAGCAAAAUUUUAAAUUGUUAUAUGGUACAGUUUCCCAUUUUCAAUCCAGGCAUUAUUUCAUAUGUUAGUUUUGACACUGAAUAUUCUUGACUCAUUGAAUGCUGAAUAGUGAAUGGUUGAAUCAGCUGUGUUUUGAUUUCGUAGCUCGAUACGUAAUGUUGCUAGUACUGUGAUAAAUAUUUCAUUGCAUGGGUUAAUGUGUCAAGAGGCUCUGUUUUUACUCAGUAAAAUUGGUUUCUGUUGUUUGUUUUGUAUAUACAGCAGUUUACAUUUUUAGAUUAAUCUGUUGCAACCGCUCAAUUGUGAGUAUACUUUACUGC